GAUGAACGCUGGCGGCGUGCCUAAUACAUGCAAGUCGAGCGAACGGACGAGAAGCUCGCUUCUCUGAUGUUAGCGGCGGACGGGUGAGUAACACGUGCAUAACCUACCUAUAAGACUGGGAUAACUUCGGGAAACCGGAGCUAAUACCGGAUAAUAUUUUGAACCGCAUGGUUCAAAAGUGAAAGACGCUCUUGCUGUCACUUAUAGAUGGAUCCGCGUUGCAUUAGCUAGUUGGUAAGGUAACGGCUUACCAAGGCAACGAUGCGUAGCCGACCUGAGAGGGUGUUCGGCCACACUGGAACUGAGACACGGUCCAGACUCCUACGGGAGGCAGCAGUAGGGAAUCUUCCGCAAUGGGCGAAAGCCUGACGGAGCAACGCCGCGUGAGUGAUGAAGGUCUUCGGAUCGUAAAACUCUGUUAUUAGGGAAGAACAGAUGUGUAAGUAACUGUGCACAUCUUGACGGUACCUAAUCAGAAAGCCACGGCUAACUACGUG
rnacentral:rRNA from 1 species